rnacentral:rRNA from 1 species
AUGGGCCCUCACGAUGACGACGACGACGUGCAUGCCGUUGCCAUCUGGUCUUCACGCGUUCCAAAUCGCGUGAAGAUCUUUGCAUGGCUCCUGUUUUGGGAUCGACUCAACUCAAAAAGCAACCUUCAGCGCAAGCAUAUCGUCACCGACUCACUAUGCCCGCGUUGCGGAUAUGAUGGUGAAACCAACUCACACAUAUUCCUAGACUGUCCGCUUUCACAACGUAUUUGGCAACGGAUCGACCUCUCUCCUUCGAGUACCAUUGAUGGACUCUGGGACUGCCGCCUACCUACACAAGUAGAUGCGGUAAUCUGGCACUCCGUCCUCCUCAUCAUCCUAUGGAAGAUUUGGGAUUCCAGAAACGCUAUGACCUUCAAGCAACAAAAUCAUCACAGUAUCCUCACCCUCAGGCGAAUCGUGGAUGAUCUCAUGCUCUGGACGCACCGGAUGAAGAAACCGGUGCACAAGCAGGCCGCCUCCUCCUGGCGUUCCUACCUCUUAUCACGACUACACGUGCUUAUGUAA